GAAGGCUAGGUUGUCCGGGCGACGGUCGUCCCGGUUCAAGCAGGUAGGCAGAGUGAUUAGGCAAAUCCGGUCACUUAAUGCUGAGAUGUGAUGACGAACCACCAAGGUGGUGAAGCAAUUGAUGCCCCGCUUCCAGGAAAAGCCUCUAAGCUUCAGGUUACCAACAAUCGUACCCCAAACCGACACAGGUGGUCAGGUAGAGAAUACUCAGGCGCUUGAGAGAACUCGGGUGAAGGAACUAGGCAAAAUGGUGCCGUAACUUCGGGAGAAGGCACGCUGGCGGUAGGUAAAGUCCCUCGCGGACGGCGCUGAAGCCAGUCGAAGAUACCAGCUGGCUGCAACUGUUUAUUAAAAACACAGCACUGUGCAAACACGAAAGUGGACGUAUACGGUGUGACGCCUGCCCGGUGCUGGAAGGUUAAUUGAUGGGGU
rnacentral:rRNA from 1 species